rnacentral:rRNA from 1 species
AACGAACGCUGGCGGCAGGCCUAAAACAUGCAAGUCGAACGCCCCGCAAGGGGAGUGGCGCACGGGUGAGUAACGCGUGGGAACGUGCCCUUCACUACGGGACAACGUCGGGAAACUGACGCUAUACCGUAUAAUGACCCCGGUCCAAAGAUUUAUCGGUGAAGGAGCGGCCCGCGUCUGAUUAGCUAGUUGGUGAGGUAAUGGCUCACCAAGGCUACGAUCAGUAGCAGGUCUGAGAGGAUGAUCUGCCACACUGGGACUGAGACACGGCCCAGACUCCUACGGGAGGCAGCAGUUAGGAAUAUUGGACAAUGGGCGAAAGCCUGAUCCAGCCAUGCCGCGUGUGUGAUGAAGGCCCUAGGGUUGUAAAGCACUUUCGUUGAGGAAGAUAAUGACUGUACUCAAAGAAGAAGCACCGGCUAACUUCGUGCCAGCCGCCGCGGUAA